ensembl:lncRNA
CCUGCUCCACCCCCCGCCAGGUCCAUGCUCUGCUUCUCUCUACUAGGGUCUAGGCUCCAGGAGGCAGAGAUGAGCAUGUGGGCAAGCUCCCGAAGCCCACUGGCUUCCAUGUGGGUCAGGCCUCUGAGUAACACUGGGUGGGGGGUGGGGUGUGUGUGCGCCUGUCUCCCUCCCCUCGGGAUCACUUGACUGAAGGUGACGGCUAGAGUCAGAGUCAGGCUGCCCUGUCAAUCAGCCCUCUCCCUCCUCUCCACUCCUCCCUUCUCCUCUCUCCUUGUAUCUCCCUGUCUGUCCCCAUCUCUUUCUCCCUCUCCUCCCCCUUCUCCCCUGAGUCUUGGAAUCACACGCUCUCCCCUUGCAUUUCCCAGCAGCAGGAAGUGGUCCUGGCUUGCUGGGGUUAGAAGCCCCAGGAAGCUAUACGUCCCCUAAAGGCUUCGCUGGGGUUGGAAGNNNNNNNNNNNNNNNNNNNNNNNNNNNNNNNNGCUGGGGUUGGAAGCCCCAGGAAGCUAUACGUCCCCUAAAGGCUUCGCUGUACCCUGUGUUCCUGUCCCUUGUCAGCAUCCCCUUUCUUAUAACUCCUCUUGGUCCCCCAGGUCCACUCCUUGCCAGGACCCAAGAGGCACCGAGUUGUGGAUCAGAUAGAGUCACAUGGGUGUGCUUCUCCCAGGUGCCCAGAGGUCCCCCCCCGGAGCGGGGCCUCCUUUGCCAGGCCUCACCAGGACCUUACUGCCUUCCACAGCCACCCCACAAACUCCGGACCCCCAAAUCAGAGCUGAGCUACGUGAAGGGGCAGAGCGCAGACCCUGUGGGUUACAUACACGCUUCCUCCUGGGGUCCUCAGUCGAGGGGGAUGACGCGACAUUCCAUCAGGAGAGAAACAAAACAAAGAUGAAACCUGGUGUCUGAUGGGAAGCAGCAUGCUUGAUAAACUUCCAAGAACCCCUGGCUUCCAGACCUCCUCCAAAGGCCUUUUAUAACUUUCUGAAAAUGCUUUUGCAUUGGGUUUUUAAUUAAACAUUUAAUAUGCAUCGUGCAAAUUUAUUGUUUCUACCAGGGGGAGAAAGAUGAAUCUUGUUAUUUGGUCAUCUCCAGCUAAGAAGACUCAUAUUUUCUUUGGGGUUGCUAACGGAGCCCCUAGUUGCAUCCAGUAUGAGCAGCACUGCAAGAGUGGGGAGCAUCCUGGUUUGCAGUCACUGGCUUGGAGCAGGCGUGUUCAUCUCAGCUUCUCAGACUCAGCCCUCAGACUGAGGAUGCGGGGAGGUACAGGCUGCUGACCAUGAACACAAGCACUUGAAAUGCACCCGUUUGUCGUGGCGCCUCCUUCUGCUGUUCAUCUCUCGUCCCUUCCUGUGACUCUGAAGUUCUGAUCUCUGACAAGGAUGAUCCAGACUGCCCAGAAAUGCCCUGUGAGGAAAUGGCUCAAGGGCCAAGGUCACCUUGCCUGCCCGAUCCAGGAGGGUUAGGAUCCCACUAAGUUGGUGUUAAUGGACAAAAAUUCUGGAAGAAGGAGGAAUCUGAGAUUCCACGCUCCCAGUGCAGGAGGCCCAGGUUUGAUCCCUGAUCAGGGAACCAGAUCCUAUAUGCUGCAGCUAAGAGUUCGCAUGCUGCAGCUAAAAAAUCCCUAAAUAAGUAUUUAAUUUUUUUUAAAAAAGGAGGGGAAUUGGGUAGAAUUCUAUCUGGUAAGUAGGGGUUGGAAAAGGCCCUUGACUAGUCCCAGCUCCAACAUUCAUUGAAGAAGACAACAGUUAUAGAGCAGUGUUUCUCUACUGGACGAUUUUGUACCCUGCAGCCCUUUGGCUAAGGCCAGAAUGGCACCCCACUCCAGUACUCUUGCCUGGAAAAUCCCACGGAUGGAG